GAUGAAGAACGCAGCGAAAUGCGAUAAGUAGUGUGAAUUGCAGAAUUCAGUGAAUCAUCGAAUCUUUGAACGCACAUUGCGCCCCUUGGUAUCCCGAGGGGCAUGCCUGUUCGAACGUCAUUUCACCACUCAAGCCUGGCUUGGUGUUGGGCGACGUCCCCUUUGGGGACGCGCCUCGAAACGCUCGGCGGCGUGGCACCGGCUUUAAGCGUAGCAGAAUCUUUCGCUUUGGAAGUCGGGGCCCCGUCUGCCGGAAGACCUACUCGCAAGGUUGACCUCGGAUCAGGCAGGGAUACCCGCUGAACUUAAGCAUAUCAAUAAGCGGAGGA
rnacentral:misc_RNA from 1 species